GUGCUCAAUUUGGCUGCACAUACACUAAAAUUGGAACAUACAGAGAAGAUUAACAUGGUCCCUGCACAAGGAUGAUACACAAAUUAGUGAAUCAUUCCAUAUUUUU